rnacentral:rRNA from 1 species
GUCUAUGGCCAUACCACCCUGAACGCGCCCUAUCUCGUCUGAUCUCGGAAGCUAAGCAGGGUCGGGCCUGGUUAGUACUUGGAUGGGAGAAAAUUUAAAACAAAAAAGUCAUAGACA